AGUGAACGCUGGCGGUAGGCCUAACACAUGCAAGUCGAACGCGUCGCGGCAGGGUGAGGAAUACAUCGGACUCUACUCUGUCGUGGGGGAUCACGUGGGGACACUUACUCUAAUACCGCAUACGAUUGAAUGCGCCUAUGUCGGAUUAGCUAGUUGGCGGGGGAAAGGCCCACCAAGGCGACGCUCCCGAGCUGGUCUGAGAGGAUGAACAGCCACACUGGAACUGAGACACGGCCCAGACUCCUACGGGAGGCAGCAGUGGGGAAUAUUGGACAAUGGGCGCAAGCCUGAUCCAGCCAUACCGCGUGGGUGAAGAAGGCCUUCGGGUUGUAAAGCACUUUUGGUGGGAAAGCGGUACCCAAAGAAGAAGCACCGGCUAACUUCGUGCCAGCCGCCGCGGUAAUUC
rnacentral:rRNA from 1 species